GAUGAACGCUGGCGGCGUGCCUAAUACAUGCAAGUCGAGCGAACGGACGAGAAGCUUGCUUCUCUGAUGUUAGCGGCGGACGGGUGAGUAACACGUGGAUAACCUACCUAUAAGACUGGGAUAACUUCGGGAAACCGGAGCUAAUACCGGAUGAUAUUUUGAACCGCAUGGUUCAAAAGUGAAAGACGGUCUUGCUGUCACUUAUAGAUGGAUCCGCGCUGCAUUAGCUAGUUGGUAAGGUAACGGCUUACCAAGGCAACGAUGCAUAGCCGACCUGAGAGGGUGAUCGGACACACUGGCACUGAGACACGGUCCAGACUCCUACGGGAGGCAGCAGUAGGGAAUCCUCCGCAAUGGGCGAAAGCCUGACGGAGCAACGUCGCGUGAGUGAUGAAGGUCUUCGGAUCGUAAAACUCUGUUAUUAGGGAAGAACAUAUGUGUAAGUAACUGUGCACAUCUUGACGGUACCUAAUCAGAAAGCCACGGCUAACUCCGUG
rnacentral:rRNA from 1 species